rnacentral:rRNA from 1 species
GAUGAACGCUGGCGGCGUGCCUAAUACAUGCAAGUCGAGCGAACGGACGAGAAGCUUGCUUUUCUGAUGUUAGCGGCGGACGGGUGAGUAACACGUGGAUAACCUCCCUAUAAGACUGGGAUCACUUCGGGAAACCGGCGCUUAUACCGGAUAAUAUUUUGAACCGCAUGGUUCAAUAGUGAAAGACGGUCUUGCUGUCACUUCUAGAUGGAUCCGCGCUGCAUUAGCUAGUUGGUAAGGUAACGGCUUACCAAGGCAACGAUGCAUAGCCGACCUGAGAGGGUGAUAGGCCACACGGGAACUGAGACACGGUCAAGACGCCUAAGGGAGGCAGCAGUAGGGAAUCUUCCGCAAUGGGCGAAAGCCUGACGGAGCAAGGGCGCGUGAGUGAUGAAGGUCUUCGGAUCGUAAAACUCUGCUAUUAGGGAAGAACAUAUGUGUAAGUAACUGUGCACAGCUUGACGGUACCUAAUCAGAAAGCCACGGCUAACUACGUG